CCCCGCUGUAACUUAAGGCAUAUCAAUAAGCGGAGGAAAAAGAAACCAACAGGGAUUGCCCUAGUAACGGCGAGUGAAGCGGCAACAGCUCAAAUUUGAAAUCUGGUCCUUUCAGGGCCCGAGUUGUAAUUUUACAGAGGAUGCUUCGGGUACGGGUGCCUACUGAGUUCCUUGGAACGAGACGCCAUAGAGGGUGAGAGCCCCGUCUAGUAGGAUACCCAGCCCAUGUGAAGCUCCCUCGUCGAGUCGAGUAGUUUGGGAAUGCUGCUCUAAUGGGAGGUAUACUCCUUCCAAGGCUAAAUACCGGCUGGAGACCGAUAGCGCACAAGUAGAGUGAUCGAAAGAUGAAAAGCACUUUGAAAAGAGAGUCAAAUAGCACGUGAAAUUGUUGAAAGGGAAGCGCUCGCUACCAGACUUGAGUUAGGCGGUUCAACCGGGGCCACGCCCCGGGGCACUCCACCUGCUCAGGCCAGCAUCAGCUUUCCGUCGGGGGCAAAGGCGUCGGGAAUGUGGCUCUCCUCCGGGAGAAUGUUAUAACCCGGCGUGUCAUACCCUUCGGGGGGAUGAGGUACGCGCUUCUGCAAGGAUGCUGGCGUAAUGGUAGCUAGUGACCCGUCUUGAAACACGGACCAAGGAGUCAACCUUAUGUGCGAGUGCCCGGGCGUAAAACCCCAGCGCGGAAUGAAAGUGAACGUAGGUGAGAGCUUCGGCGCAUCACCGACCGAUCCUGAUGUCCUCGGACGGAUUUGAGUGAGAGCAUAUAGGGUUGGACCCGUAAGAAGAUGAACUAUGCGUGUGUAGGGUGAAGCCAUGCUAACUCUGGUGGAGGCUCGCAGCGGUUCUGACGUGCAAAUCGAUCGUCAAACAUGCGCAUGGGGCGAAAGACUAAUC
rnacentral:rRNA from 1 species